rnacentral:rRNA from 1 species
GUGAACGCUGGCGGUAGGCCUAACACAUGCAAGUCGAACGGCAGCACAGUAAGAGCUUGCUCUUACGGGUGGCGAGUGGCGGACGGGUGAGGAAUACAUCGGAAUCUACUUUUUCGUGGGGGAUAACGUAGGGAAACUUACGCUAAUACCGCAUACGACCUACGGGUGAAAGCAGGGGAUCUUCGGACCUUGCGCGAUUGAAUGAGCCGAUGUCGGAUUAGCUAGUUGGCGGGGUAAAGGCCCACCAAGGCGACGAUUCGUAGCUGGUCUGAGAGGAUGAUCAGCCACACUGGAACUGAGACACGGUCCAGACUCCUACGGGAGGCAGCAGUGGGGAAUAUUGGACAAUGGGCGCAAGCCUGAUCCAGCCAUACCGCGUGGGUGAAGAAGGCCUUCGGGUUGUAAAGCCCUUUUGUUGGGAAAGAAAAGCAGCAGGUUAAUACCCCGCUGUUCUGACGGUACCCAAAGAAUAAGCACCGGCUAACUUCGUG